GCGCCCGUAGCUCAAUUGGAUAGAGCAUCGGUCUUCGAAACCGAAUGUUGGGGGUUCGAGCCCCUCCGGGCGCA
rnacentral:tRNA from 1 species